CUACUACUACUACUACUAGCACCAUUACAAAGAAUUGCAAUGCUCAGUCACGCAAGGUUUUCCCCUCUUCUGUUCCCUCCACUGCCUGCUUCCUUCCCUCUCCUCCACCCUUCCCACACUUGCCUCUUCCAGCGUCCCUUAGCAAACCUUGGAAUGCCACCGUGUGUUUCCCAGAAGAGUGGAUGUGUUCAGGCUUCUUAAUCCUUCACUCACUCCCACCCACCCACCCACACACACACACACACACCCACCCACACACACACACACACAUGUAUUUGGUAAAGCCUGUAGCUAAAUGAAGACCAGCCAUGCUAAUGUACUAACCGUGGUUCGUAUUUUGAAACCGUGUUCUCUCUUUUAUUUACUUAUUUUAUGUUGUUGUUAUUGUUGGUGGUAGUGGUGGUGGCGCUGGUGGUAAUAUUAUUGUUGUUGUUGUUGUUGUUGUUGGUGGUGGUGGUGGUGGUGGUGGUGGUGGUGGCGGUAAUAUUAUUGCUGUUACUAUUAUUGUUGUUGUUAUUGUUAGUGGUGGAGAUGGUGGUGGUGGUAAUAUUAUUGCUGUUACUAUUAUUAUUCUUGUUAUUGAUGUUUUUUUUUUUCACUAGAACUAGAACUGUCGUGAAAGCACCCAUGAUAACCGCAAACGACUUCCACUAGAGCCUGUUAAACUGUCCCCAGAAUUAAGAAAAUACUCAAAAUACCAAUGAUUCUUAAGAAAAAUUGUUAAACUACCACAAGAAUCGUGAAAACACCCGCGAAAACCCUGAUAAUAAUAACUUCCAGUAGAUCACCGUCAAACUACCACUGGAAUUAUGAAAAACACCCAUGAAAACAACAACAGCUUCGACAAGAGCCUAUCAGAAGUACAACCAAGUCCCAGUCCACAGCCAAUGCUCUUCAGUGCUUUGGACUCCCAUCACGACAUUUUGAAAGACAACACAUGAUGGGUUAAGUUUUCAUGUGUGUUUUACUUAUUUAAUUUCAUUGAGUUUGCUUUUUUUUUCAUCGAUAUGCAGAACUACUGUUAAACUAUCACUAGGAUCAUAAAAACACCCUUGAAAGAAAAAUCAUUACCUGCUAAAAAUUCUAAUUAAAGCGCCGAAUAAAUAAAUAAAUAAAGUAUAGGGCAAUAACAUCAUUCACAGCCUUUAGCAAGUACCUUUAUCACUCACUGCUUUGUCCCGCCGUCUGUUCCUCUUUCAAGUUAUUUUUUUUUUAUUAUUAUUUAUUUCCUUUAGUUGAGAUAAAGCACCAAUUAAGAAAACGGGGCCAUAUUAAAAAAAAAAAAAAUCAUUAGUAUCUAGUUUUAUGACCCACCGGUUUGUCCUGCCGUCUGCUCCUCAGUGUAAUCCCUUCUUUUUAUUGUAUAUUUUCUUUAGUUGAGAUAAAGCCCUGAUUAAAAUAAAAGUAUGGGUCCUCUUAUUAUUCAGACUAUCGUUAGUAUCUCGUCUUAUUACCCACCAGUUUGUUUUAUCGUCUGUUCCUCAGUAUAAUGCCUUCUUUUUAUAAUUUUUUUUUUUUUUUUUGGUCGAGAUAAAGCACCGAUUAAAAACAUGGAUCCCCUUAAUAUCACUCAAUCAUUAUUAUCUCGUUUUAUUGCCCACCAGUUUGUUCUGCCGUCUAAUCCUCUGUGAAGUACCUAUUCUUCAUCAUUUCUAUCAGUCAUCGUACGUAUAUAAUCGACAGGAAGUCUUCAAGAUAUACGUACAGUACUAUAGGGUCCGUAUUUUCAAACAUUUCUGCAUCCUUCUACGUUGAACUGGAUGUAGUGGAAGUCACUUGGGUUCUCCCGGAUUCUGUCAUGAGUCCAGUGAUAGUGUAACCCUUUGACUGCUAUUUGGUACACAUUUCCGUAAUUAUUUAUCACUCUGAGACAUCUUUACUUGAUACAUAGCCACAUCCUGGGAAGAACUGGGAAGAAAUUGCAAAAUGUACACUUUUUCAUUGUUAAUUUUUCUUGUAGAUGCUUAUAAAUAUCCCAUGCAUUACCUCUGGUGUUGUUGUUUCGUAUUGCAGUGAUAGAUUAACAAUAAUUCCCCACCGUCCAUAAGAAAAACCACUCACAGGAACACAGCUACCCGUGAGUGUGACCUGCGAAAAUAGUAUCCGUGGGAAGACAAAGGAUUUCAAGAGAACGAUUCAUUAUUCACGAGAUUUCUUUGACGUCUGUUCCUCUUUGAAGUUUUUUUUUUUUUUUCUUACUUAGACCUGCAUAUGUGAACAAUUAAUAGCGACCGCGGGGUAGCGUGUCCCAGGCGUCAAAAAACCUACUCACGUCAAAUUCAAAUAGCAAGGGUCGCUGCUUGGAGAAUAAACAGCUUGAGAGGCAGAGUGCGUGAGGAUCAACAUUCACGCGCGCUAGCUUCCUCGCCCUCCGUCCCUCCCACCUCUCUAAUUUCUUCCCCAAUUUUUUUUUUUUACUUUCUUUGUUAAUACAUUCUCAUAAGGAAUUUCCCAAGUGGUGAUGGAUCGAACAAGAGAGAGAGAGAGAGAGAGAGAGAGAGAGAGAGAGAGAGAGAGAGAGAGAGAGAGAGAGAGAGAGAGAGAGAGAGAGAGACGCGGAGGGAGAGAGGCGCGGAGUGAGGAGAGUUCUGGGAAUGCAUAGUGGUGGCGUGCAUGAGCUAAAUGCAUCAAGGCCUCUCAACUAUUAAAACCGACUCGCUUACUUAGUUACUUUAGUUAGCUACUUUCUCAAUUACUUGCCUAUCUACCCAUCUACCAACUUAGUUAUUCAUCUACUUGCAUACUUCAAUGGUAGUUACGAAACACCGUUAUAUAUAUAUAUUUUUUUUUUUGUCCACUUCUAGCCACACUGGGUGAAGUAGCGAUAAAUAUGGUCACUAUCUAAAAAAUAAUGAUAACGAUAACAAUGAUGAAAAAGGAAAGAGACAGAAAGGAAUGAUAAAUGUGAGUAAAUAAAUAAAUACAGUAAUGAUAACAAAUGAAGCUGUAAAAAUAAAUUAAUAAAUACAGUAAAAAAGAAAGGAUAAACAAAUGAAGAGAUACAGUGAUGAUAAUAACAAAUAAAGCUACAAAAUAAAGAAAUAAAAAAAUACAGUAAUGAU